UUUUGUUGGAGUAAGCCCGUUCAAAAUUUAUAUAAUAUUAAUUUAUUUGUUUUAUAAAUUCAAAAGACGUUUAUAAAGAUGAGGACGGACGAAAACUUUCAAUGCACUGCCCGAGUUGGAAAUCGAGGGAAAUUUUUCCCAAUGGUGAUUUCAAGUGCCUCAUGCUUUGCACGAAGUAUGUAGCGGAAGAAUUCCGUCUGUCGGCCGAGGCGUUCGAAUGGUUGAUCGGUGAUAUUGAAAUUAACCUGGCGAAAUAGUCUGCGCUGUGGUCGCGCAGAAUUUGGGUGAACGUGCUACACAGUGCUGUAUCACUUUAAGGUAACGGCCAACACUGCUAUUUAUAUGCAGAGGACUGUCAUCUCGGGAGAUCAAGAAUACGUAAAUGUCUACUAUGAAGUGAAGAUCAAGAAUUCGUAAAUGUCUACUAUGAGAUGCCCGAUUUCAAUCCAACACGCAUUUCGCCAUGGUUGCUGCGUAUCGAAUUGAAGUAUCCCAGUAUUAGGCUUAGAGGCUGUGCGUAAAUCGGUUGAGAAGGAAAUUAAUACUGUGCUGAAAUUCAACAGCUUGUAGGUAAACUACCGUGCUUUGGCCUAAUAAGAGGUAAUGACAGCUUACUGAAUACAAGUAAUUAAAUUAUAUAACUCUUCUAGAUAUAUAAUUGAGGCUAUAUAUCGGCAUUAUAAUAAUAUAUAAGUAUGAAUAAUUUAAUCAUAACUGUCC